AACCUAUUUCAAGUUUCGAGCUGUUAGCUACAGUCUGAGUGUUCUGGAAAGAUAACACUGGAGGUUUAUGAGGCACGAAGGCUUGCAUCCUGCCAUUAGCGAGUAUUUCAGUUGCAUUUCCUUUCAGACUCUUAAAGUAUGCUCUUUUUAAGGAUGAGAUGCAGCAAUAAAAACAAAAUGUAAUAUAGCCAAAAUAACACCAAGAUUUACACCAAUAUUAUCUGUGCGAGAUAUGAGAGCUAAGACCAAGGUGAGUAUCCAAAAUAACUGUAACAUUCUCCAGUUUAGCUGUUCAGCAUAAAAAUCCAUACAAGCUUUUUGGAGAGAAUAUAAUUGUAUCUACUUAAGCUCUGAAAGCUGAACUCAAAUUAGACAGGAAAGUAAGAUAAAGGAGCAAUUUUCUGACUCGAAUAAUGAAUAUGCAUGAUACGAAUUGAACCGCAAAGACCUUUAAGUGACAUUGGCCUGUCUAUGAUAAUUCUAGUUACAGUUUAAAGUAUGUUAAUACAACCACUUCAGCCCAUUGCCUUGCAGUAUGCAUUAAACAGCAGAUAUAGAAGUCCAGAAUAUUGCCGCAGCAGUAGAUAUAGUGUGUCAUUUUGUAACACAUGGGAGGAUUAUUUUAUUAUUCAAUUCAGCAGUGUACAACAAGGUUAUGUGAGACCACACCUUGAACCAGUCUGGGCACCCUCUUCUGACCUCUCUCAUCAACAUGUUGUUUCUGCCCACUGAACUGCUGCUCACUGGAUGUUUUUUUGCACCAUUCUGUGUAAACUCUACAGACUGCAGUGAGUGAAAAUCCCAGGAGAUCAGGAUUUUCUGAAAUACUCAAACCAGCCUGUCUGGCAGCAACAACCAUGAGACAGGGUCACGGGGAACCUGGAGCCUAUCCCAGGGAGCAUCGGGCACAAGGCGGGGUACACCCUGGACAGGGUGAGGAUUGAUAUAAACCUGUGAUUUGCCUUGUAGUUGACACUACGUCAGAGCUGCUGUUAAAGGUGAAUUGGUGACACUAAAAUAUCUCCUAGGUGUGAAUGCAUGUGUAAAUGUCUGUGUGUGUGUGUGUAUGUACGUCUAGUGCCCUGACCAGAAUAAGGAACGUACCCAAGUUAAUGAAUGAAUGUGAUUUGUGCGUCUGUGCGCUUGUGUAUACACAGUGCUAAAAUGUUAAAAUGUGCAUUGUGCAUUAAUUGAGGUAUGUAACUUUGUAUAUUAAAUGAAAUAAGGCAAGUUUAAAACAUGACUGAAGACUUGUAAUGAUUUGCUUGACCAUAUGUAUUUUGACCAAGCUCUUAGCACAACAAGACCAAAGACUGAACUGAUGGGUUUCAAGUUAUACUAUCUUUUCUGUUACUCCAUUAACUAAUCAUGCAUAAACAUUAACAUUUUCCAUCAUCCCACAAUCUGGCUAUUUGAACAUGGCACUGUUUUGAAAUCUGUCACUGGCACUGACACAAACAUGGGCAAUCUGAUCU